GCCGGCUGGCGGGGAGCCGUCAGUCCGGCGGCCGCGGGGCCCGGCGGGCGCGGCGCUGCCUCCUCACCGGCGCGGGCUAGCAGGGGACGGCCUGAGUGCCGGAGCCGAGCGGGGACUGGAGCGCGCGGUCUGACCUACAAGAACCAUGGCAACCAGCGCCGUCCCCAGUGACAACCUACCCACAUAUAAGCUGGUGGUGGUGGGGGAUGGGGGUGUGGGCAAAAGUGCCCUCACCAUCCAGUUUUUCCAGAAGAUCUUUGUACCUGACUAUGACCCCACCAUUGAAGACUCCUACCUGAAACAUACAGAGGUUGACAAUCAGUGGGCCAUCUUGGACGUUCUGGACACAGCUGGGCAGGAGGAAUUCAGUGCCAUGCGGGAGCAGUACAUGCGCACGGGGGAUGGCUUCCUCAUUGUCUACUCUGUCACCGACAAGGCCAGCUUCGAGCACGUGGACCGCUUCCACCAGCUCAUCCUGCGUGUCAAAGACAGGGAGUCAUUCCCGAUGAUCCUCGUGGCCAACAAGGUCGAUUUGAUGCACUUAAGGAAAAUCACCAGGGAGCAAGGAAAAGAAAUGGCCACCAAACACAAUAUUCCAUACAUAGAAACCAGUGCCAAGGACACACCUCUCAAUGUGACAAAGCUUUCCAUGACCUCAUUAGAGUAAUUAGGCAACAGAUUCCAGAAAAAAGCCAGAAGAAGAAGAAGAAAACCAAAUGGCAGGGAGACCGGGCUACAGGCACCCGCAAACUGCAAUGUGUGAUCUUGUGACAGGCCUGAGUGGGCACAGUGACUGUGGCCUGACCAGCCCUUCGGACCCCUCCCCGCCUAACUGCACUGAAACCAUUUCUAACCACAACCCUUGGCCUGAGGACUUGGCACAGAAAGGGAGAAAGGGAGGGUGGGCAGGGGGCAGACAGGGUCUGGCUUUGCCCAGAGGGCACGGGCUUUCCCAUCUCUCACAAGAGACAAGGGAGCCACCCAUAAGCAGAAGCAGCGUCCAAGUGUCCCUGGCCCCCCCAUGUGUUGAUUCAACCCGGUUCCUCCCCAUCUCUCUGUGGGUGUGUUGUUUAUUUUAACUAUAUAGUGUUGGUUUGAUGUGGAAGUGUUUAUCCACAUACAAA